rnacentral:rRNA from 1 species
AUUGAACGCUGGCGGCAGGCCUAACACAUGCAAGUCGAGCGGAUGAAGGGAGCUUGCUCCUGGAUUCAGCGGCGGACGGGUGAGUAAUGCCUAGGAAUCUGCCUGGUAGUGUGGGAUAACGUCCGGAAACGGGCGCUAAUACCGCAUACGUCCUGAGGGAGAAAGUGGGGGAUCUUCGGACCUCACGCUAUCAGAUGAGCCUAGGUCGGAUUAGCUAGUUGGUGGGGUAAAGGCCUACCAAGGCGACGAUCCGUAACUGGUCUGAGAGGAUGAUCAGGCACACUGGAACUGAGACACGGUCCAGACUCCUACGGGAGGCAGCAGUGGGGAAUAUUGGACAAUGGGCGAAAGCCUGAUCCAGCCAUGCCGCGUGUGUGAAGAAGGUCUUCGGAUUGUAAAGCACUUUAAGUUGGGAGGAAGGGCAGUAAGUUAAUACCUUGCUGUUUUGACGUUACCAACAGAAUAAGCACCGGCUAACUUCGUG